GACGAACGCUGGCGGCGUGCUUAACACAUGCAAGUCGAGCGGAAAGGCCCUGCUUUUGUGGGGUGCUCGAGUGGCGAACGGGUGAGUAACACGUGAGUAACCUGCCCUUGACUUUGGGAUAACUUCAGGAAACUGGGGCUAAUACCGGAUAGGAGCUCCUGCUGCAUGGUGGGGGUUGGAAAGUUUCGGCGGUUGGGGAUGGACUCGCGGCUUAUCAGCUUGUUGGUGGGGUAGUGGCUUACCAAGGCUUUGACGGGUAGCCGGCCUGAGAGGGUGACCGGCCACAUUGGGACUGAGAUACGGCCCAGACUCCUACGGGAGGCAGCAGUGGGGAAUAUUGCACAAUGGGAGGAAGCCUGAUGCAGCAACGCCGCGUGCGGGAUGACGGCCUUCGGGUUGUAAACCGCUUUCGCCUGUGACGAAGCGUGAGUGACGGUAAUGGGUAAAGAAGCACCGGCUAACUACGUG
rnacentral:rRNA from 1 species